rnacentral:rRNA from 1 species
GCUCAGAUUGAACGCUGGCGGCAGGCCUAACACAUGCAAGUCGAGCGGCAGCGGGAAAGUAGCUUGCUACUUUUGCCGGCGAGCGGCGGACGGGUGAGUAAUGCCUGGGGAUCUGCCCAGUCGAGGGGGAUAACAGUUGGAAACGACUGCUAAUACCGCAUACGCCCUACGGGGGAAAGGAGGGGACCUUCGGGCCUUUCGCGAUUGGAUGAACCCAGGUGGGAUUAGCUAGUUGGUGGGGUAAUGGCUCACCAAGGCGACGAUCCCUAGCUGGUUUGAGAGGAUGAUCAGCCACACUGGAACUGAGACACGGUCCAGACUCCUACGGGAGGCAGCAGUGGGGAAUAUUGCACAAUGGGGGAAACCCUGAUGCAGCCAUGCCGCGUGUGUGAAGAAGGCCUUCGGGUUGUAAAGCACUUUCAGCGAGGAGGAAAGGUUGGCGCCU